rnacentral:lncRNA from 1 species
UAAUAAUUUAUUAUAUAAAGUUGGAGGACUUAAGAGCAAUUAUGGGUUAGUGUAGCAAGUGGCUAUUAUUAAACCAUUUAUCCCAUUUCUCAUUUCAUUUCUCUCUCUCUCACACACACACAGUCUUGAAAAAAAAAACGGCAGAGGAAGAAUAAAAACCAAGAAUAAGGGGAAAGAAAAGAGAAAAGGAAGAAGAAAGAAAAGAAGAAAAAGGAGGAAGUCACUAAAGAGAUUGAAAUUUGGGUUCUCAAUUUAUUCUUCUAUUUUGAGGUAAAUUUGGAUUUUAUUUUCGUUGAGUUUUGUGGUAAAAGUUUAGGGUUUUAAAUUUAUAGCUUAUACUUGAAAAAUAUGAUAAGGAAGCUAACUAUUUGAGCAUUUUUGAGCUAUUUAUUCUAGUGGAUUGAAAGAAAUGAUAUUUAGAUAUUAGGGUUUUGUUAUAUGUGGGUCAAUUCGAAAAUUUGGGAAAAAUUAGCAUUCUUGUUAUUUUCCCUUGUGAUUGUUGUAUGAUAUUAAGUUAGAUUGAUUGAAAAUAAUUUAUCUUAAGCUUAGUUCUCAGUUUGGAUGAAUAUUGAAAAUAUAAGAAAUGAGUUUUUGAUAAGAUUUAUGUAUUUAGUUAAAAGAGAAUUUAAAUAAGGAAUGUGGAUAAUUAUUGUCAUGAAAAGUUUGUUGAAUCUUGACGAGGCAACCGGGAAAGGUUAGUAUUAACGAGUUUGGGAUGUAGAGUGAUUCGAAAAUUAGGUGAACGUAUGUUUAAGUUAACCAAAUGAAAUAGAAAUAUUAAGCCCUCGUUUGGCCCCCAUUUUGUGGUAAUGAAAAUGGGUGGAAUAAUAUUUAUUUGAAAAAUGAGUGGUUGAAAAAUUUCGGUUUACAUGUAAUAUUAUUUUAUGAAAGAUUGUGUGAUUAAAAAUAAAAAAGAAAAAUGAAAUGUAAUAGAAUAAAAAUUAAUGGAGGCCAAACAGGGGCUAAGUCUCAGCUUAUUGAUGGAUAUAUAUUUCAUUUUGAUAAUAAAUAGGGGUUAUUAUUGAGAAAUCCCUUGUAAUUGUAUAUGGAUGAAAUUGAAGUGGCUUAUAUGUAUGAUCAUUUCAGGAGGGGAUUUGGACGUGGGAACAACAUACUAGCCCCGUUAGUUUAGCCUAUAUCUGUGAGUGAAAAACCUACUUUUCCAAAAAAAAAAAAAAAAGAUUUUCUUUUUAUUUUAUAGAGGCAUAUUAAUUACAUGAAAAGUCCUUUUUUCGAGAAAUUAGUAAAUGAGCAUGAUUGUUUUGAAAUUAUCAGAAAAUAAUUGAUAUAAUCAUCUUACUCUAGUGCAUUGAGGGGCUACAGGCGUGUGUAAGGGUAACUCUUAUCCACCGAGGGGCUACGACCUUGGGUAAAGGUAUCUAUUAUACACUGAGGGCUACAGCCCUGUAUAAGGAUGAUUAUGUUGCUUCCAUCUUGUGCACCGAGAGGCUACGGUCGUAUACAGAGUAUUGAUCAAACGGUUCAUGUGCAUAUGAUUAUAUAGCUUUCAGAUCAUUAGUAGAUGUUUGCAUGGAUAUAUGUUGAUAUGAAUUUUAAGUAUAUGGUAGAUUAUUAGCCUUCAGCUUACAUUUUCCCAUUUACAGUUCAGAUUAUGGAUUUCAGAUUAUGAUUUCAUUUCAUUGAAUUCGUCUAAUGCACUUACUCAUUUUCUUGUAUAUAAUUAUAUAUACAUACAUAAAGGACAGUACAACCAUAUUUUAAACACUCAACUCACUGGGAUUAUUAUCUCUUACAUUUUCUUAACUUUUCCUUAUAAGAGGCUGUUGACUAAGCUGUGGUAAAGGUCAUAUUGAUUGUUUUGCAGCCACUACCACCACCAAUUGUAGGUUAUUUUGUUUAAAACUGUGUAAUCAUCAAGUGAUUUGCAUCAUAUUUGAGGAUUUUUGUAUUUAUAUGUACCAAUGAUCACGAUGGAAUAUUGUAAUCUAAACUGCCCUAGAAUUAUCCUUUUGAGAGGCAGUUAUGAUGCAAAUGAUAAAGAUGUUUUUUUGGCUUGGGGAGUGAAUGAUAAUAUAAUGUUGGUAUAUUGAAGUUCAGAAAAAUUUUAGUUGGUCAAAUGAAGCCUUAUUAUCAAAGUUUAGUUAUAUUUUAGUUGGCACUUAUCAUCGGCACACGCCAUGUCUUUGAGUCUUGUAAGGAGUUCGGGAUGGGAUGUGUCAAGUUGGUAUCAAAGCAUGGUUCAAGAGUCCCUGGGAUAUGUUGUAUUUAUACUAAUCUUUCAACAUGUUAUGCAUAUUGUAGGUUAAGGAUGCGCACUGGCAAAGCAGGUAGGUGUCGACACUGAUCACCUGAAAAUCCAAAUGCCCCUCUAGGAAAAGAUGUCGGUGAGGCAUUAGUUCAUCAGACGCAAGGACUACCAACACAGGGUAAUGUGGUUGGAAAUGAACCCCUAUUCGACAAACUCGCUACAGCCAUUGCCUCUAUUCUUCCCAACCCAAAUAGAGAUACUAGCAUUGAGAGGGGAAUUAAGCUCGGUCCUAAACAUUUUGUGGGCAUAGCUAACCUUACUGAUACUGAGGAAUGGAUUAGGAAUUUAGAAAGUGUUUUUGAUGUUAUGGGUUGUUCUGAGGAAAAGAAACUACGCCUUGCUACUUUCUUACUGAAAGGUGUGGUAGUUGACUGGUAAUUUGCUUUUAAGAUCAGGUAUUGUGAAGCCAAUGACAUCACAUGGGCUAUUUUUAGAGAUGCUUUCUUUGAGACCGAAUAUCCUCUUUCAUAAAAGAAUGCCAAGCAAAAUGAGUUCUUGAGACUUACUCAAGGUUCAAUGACUGUUUCUGAAUAUCAUACCAAGUUUGUGGAGCUUUCGAAGUAUGCAUUGGUUCUAGCAAAUGAGGAGAAUGACAAAAGCAGACAAUUUGAAGAGAACUUGAGGCCUGAUAUUAGGGCGAUGGUGACGCGGCAGGGACAUGCCAGAUUUGUUCCAUUAGUUGAGGCGACCUUGAGAGUUGAGGCAGCAUUACAAGCAGGACAGAUUUGGGGGAUUCAGUUAGCUAUUUGGGAAAAUCAAAGCCAAACAAGAACCUCUAGUGGACAGCAUAAAAAGAACAGAGGAAGAUUUUGGACUAGUGUUAAUGAUACUGGGAGUUUUAAGUCGAGAUCUCAGAGUUCUGGAUCUAGUCAAGAAUUUGAUAUUAGUCAGAACUCCAUCAGCUAGCUAGUACAUUAUUAGUCUUCGGUUCAGGGGGUACUUUUAAAUUUGACCAAGUCAAAGGUUCAAAAUUCCACUUUAACUUUGAAAAUUAUGAAUAUUAUCACAUUGGCCUCUUGAAUGGUAAAAGACAAAGAUGCCUUUAAAUGCAUUAUACAAUUACAAAACAAUGUAUUGUUGAAAGGACUUACUACCCUUUUAGUUAAUAAUUGAAAAUUAAACACUUCCCCACUUAUAAAACUUCAAAAGGAGCUUCCAAGACAGAAAAAUCUCUCAUCUUUCAUCUACUUCAACUUCAACUUCAACAUCUCAAAAAACGUUCAAACGCUGAAGCCAGAAUUUUUUUGAUAUCAAUUACUUCAAAUCGGUAAGUAUAUUUACACAUGUUUAAUUUCGUUUUCAGUAAAUUAGUAUACGUUUGAAUUAGGGGUGGACGCGGGUCGGUUCGGUUCUCUUUAGUACCGAACCGAACCAAAAUUUUCGGGUCUCUAGUAAAUGGAACCGUUGGGUCCAAAUAUAAUUAUGGAAUCGUUCGGGUUUGGUUCGGUUCAGUUCGGUUAUGUACUAUAAUUAUAUUUUUUAACAUUUAUAACAACAUUAUAUAAAUACAAUUAAUGAUACAUCCAAUGAUUUUGGAAUUCAAUAGACUAGUAGACUACCUUAUUCAAAUGAUUGCUAUGGUCAAAGUUUCGGUCGAUGGAGGUCGCAACUUCGAUUGAAGGUCACAGCAUCGGUCGACGAUUGUAUAGAUUUUGAAACGUCAGGGAGGCUACGAGAGUGAGUAUGAGAGUCUAGACAACGUUAUGCACUUUAGUGUAGGUGUUUAGAGUUAUUUAACGGAUUGAAUCUUGUUCUGCUAAGAAAUGAAACAAUAAAAUGGGUAAUGGGGCCAAAAAUUAAAAAAUUAGAAAUGAAAUAAAUUAUUGGGUCAAAAAUUUGGAUUCAUAAAUUGUUAAUUUGUUUAGAACAAAUUAAAAUUAACAUAAUUUGAUUUACUUAAUAAAAAAAAUAGAAAUAUUCGGUUCUUAUUCGAUUCUUCAGAUCUUGGUCUAAAAUCGAGAACCGAACCGUGCCCGUCGGUUCUCAAUUCAGAUACCCGUUCGGGUAUUUAAUUUGACAAGAACCGUCGGUUCGGGUUCGGGUUCGGUCGAUUCGAUUCAGGAGAUUUGCCCAGCCCUAGUUUGACUAGAGAAAUUUUAUUUCAAUAUAGUAAUAGUUAGUAUAAAUUUUUGUUAACAGAUCUUACCUAUAUAAAAAAAUUUGAACAGAUCUAUACUUUUUUUCUUUAGAACCAUAGAAGAAAAAAAAUUCAUGUGCAAAAUAGCCAAACAGUCGGCUGUUAAACAACUAAACAGUCGGCUGACUGUUGGCUAUUAAACAGCCGAUGGUUUGGAUGUUUAACAGCCGACUAUUGGCACUGAUUUUUUCUUAUAAUUAUGAAGUUGAUUGAAUCUAUUUCCUCAUGUAGAUAUGAUAAUCCCCUUCUGUUAUAUUGGUGAUUUCGAAUUGAAUGAAAAUAAUCGGUGGGAAUGGAGAUGGACAAGUGACAUAUGUGGUUGUAUUGCAAUUAUCAUAAUAGAGAGUACAUCAUACUCAGAAAUGUAUCACCAUUUGCAAAAUAAGCUAAAUGUCGAUCAAUCUCAGUACGAUAUGCAAUUGCGAUAUCUAUUCAACAGUUAUGGGGAUUCAUCUAUUCCGAUGCCAUUGGUAUUCGUUACUAAUGAUGCUGAAUUGAAUUAUCUAUUAGAAUUGAAUAAAAUGCAUCGGACUCCGACUGUUCUUGGUGUGACUUUAAUUAAGAAGGAUGUUAUCGAAGGUGAACGCGAAAAUUCAGGUAAGGCGGAUAACAAUGAUCGAGGUUUUUGGGAGACAGUGGAGAUAGUUCCUGCGGAUGAUGUGGUUAUUCCUGAGACAGUUGCUUUUGAUCGUGAUGUCGCUGUUACGCAUAGAAUUCCAUCGACAGUUGAUGACAAUGAGAAUAUAAACGAGUUUACAAAUGAGAAUUUGAUUGCUUUAUCCCAACAGAAAUAUGAGCCGGGUGGGAGUUUACAGGUUGGAACAAGUGUACCGUCCUCCAAUUCAUCCCGUGUGGCUCCCGAUGAUGAGGACUUGUAUGUCGAGUGAUGAGUUUGUUUCACUCAUAUUUUUGCACAAUUUUAGUUUAAUUAAAUGCUAGAUCUUGUGAGUAUAUAACGUUUUUGAUGUGUUUAUUAGUGUUGUUUUGAAGAUUAGGAGAAGCGAUGUGAAAAGAGGUAUUAAAGUGGACGAAGAGGCAGUGCCUAAGCGCUACGAAACUGAAAAAAAGAUGAAAUUUGGACCCGAGAGACAGUGCCGCAACCAUAGCGCCGAGGCGCUAUCAUCAGCGCCUAGGCGCUGCAAUUGAAUAUCUAGGGCGCGUUUUUUUGGACCGUUUUUAAAUCCAUAAAAACCCUACUUCUACAUAAAACGGAAGGGCAGCUGUAAAUACAUCUUUCUCAUACUUUUGAAGGGUUCUUGACAUAUUGGAGAGAAGACAACAAGAAGAGAGAUUUAAAAGAGAAAUUCAAGAAGAUUAACACCAAACAAUUGAAGAUUAGAAGCAUUCAUUGGAAGAUGAAGGAUAUUUUGGUGCAAGAAUUCUACUUUUUCUUCUAAAUUUUUAUUACAAAUUCAGUGAUGUAUUCUAAGACAAAUUCCUACUUUUCUUGUAUUAUGAGCAGCUAAAUUCAUUGUUUGGGGGAAUAAUGUAACCAAUUGGGAUCUUUUACAUUCUGUUAUUAAGACUUUCAAUUUUUAAUUUUUUCAUGUGUUGAUUUUGCUAUGAGUUG